UGGGGAAUAUUGGACAAUGGGCGGAAGCCUGAUCCAGCAACGCCGCGUGAGGGAUGACGGCCUUCGGGUUGUAAACCUCUUUCAGUACCGACGAAGCGAAAGUGACGGUAGGUACAGAAGAAGGACCGGCCAACUACGUGCCAGCAGCCGCGGUAAUACGUAGGGUCCGAGCGUUGUCCGGAAUUAUUGGGCGUAAAGGGCUCGUAGGCGGUUUGUCGCGUCGGGAGUGAAAACAGCGGGCUUAACUCGUUGCUUGCUUUCGAUACGGGCAGACUAGAGGUAUGCAGGGGAGAAUGGAAUUCCUGGUGUAGUGGUAAAUGGCGCAGAUAUCAGGAGGAACACCGGUGGCGAAGGCGGUUCUCUGGCAUUACCUGACGCUGAGGAGCGAAAAGUGUGGGGGAGCGGAACAGGAUUAGAU
rnacentral:rRNA from 1 species